GGGGUGGGGUGGGGGUGGAAAAGGGAACUCGGGCCACCCGAGGAAAAGUGAGAUUUUUCCAAAGGCCUCUACACUCCUAGGAGAAGCCCUGGGCUCAGGCCCAACUUGGCUUAAAUCAGCUGAAAGAAGAGGCAACUUUCUUAGCAUUUCUGGGUCUCAGUUUCCCCAGGCCCUGGUGUUCUCUCCCCUCUUGAUGUCUCUGCCCCUAUCCCCUGACGGAAGUCCUAAGACCUAUGCAGGAACUGUCAUUCCAACCUGCCCACCAUAGCCUAAGUUGUUGCAAAUCAGUGGCCAGGGACUUGCUAUUUGGGAUCUAUGUGACCUGCAGGAGCCCCAGGCCUGUCUGUGAAGGGUCUGAGGUCAGGAGCCAGUGACCUGUGAGGGACCAGGAUGGCACUAGAUCAGCACAGCUGCUCUCUGGGGCCCUUUCCUCUGCUAGCCUGUGUGUCCAAGAGCUUUCUGCCCGUCUGUGAACUUAGAGCCUGGGUUGUUCUUUCACGGUUCCGUAGGGCAUGGUUUGGUCUCACCUAUUCAGAAACCUCUCUAUAUUCUCUUCCAUCUCUAGUUCCUCCCCAGACUGAUUAGUUUUUUCCUUUGGUCAGUCCUUCCUGAAGUCUAACCUUUUAUUUGUAAGUUGCCCCUCCCUAGGGGCUAGCCUUUUUCCCAAGCUACCCUGCAGCUGGAACCCAAAGGGAAAGGGAGGGGGUGACAGGCUCUAUGGUAACCCAGAGAAGAGAAUGCCUUCUCUCCUCAUCUGCAUAUAGACAGACUCAUCUGCAUACAGACAGACUCAUCUGCAUAUGCUCAGUGGGACUCUGAGAGCAUAUAAGUGAGGGCCUGCCUGGUUCCUCCCACUUCAGUCAGUCUGUGGAAUCCCUUUUUAGGGAAGAACUCCUCCCUGCCCUCUUGCCCUCCUGACCCCAACUGGGUCUGGCUAGGUCUUUCAGUUACUAAAAGGCAGCUCACCCCCUGCCUCUGCUUGCUGCCACCCCAAACCCUUUCCUGGUUGGGCGGAGACCAGCACACCCACCAGAUUCUCUACAGAUCCCAUGGGCUUCCUAAGGAGCUGCUAGUGCAAGCAUGGGAUUGGCUCAGGGCUGACCACUACUUCCCACCCCCAUGUCCCUGAAGAUUGAUGCUCCAGCCUAGUAGGGGGAGGGGGUGGCAGCUUUCACUUGCUCACACAGGGACCUGCCCUUGGGACCCCAGUGCUCACAAGCUUGCUGGACCAGUAGCAUCCAUAGCCCUGGUCAGAUCCCAGGCUCUGUCCUUUUGGGGAACGCUAGGGCUCAUGGGGCUUUCCUGAUGCUGAGGAACUGAGGACCCUGAGGCUGGUCCUUUCCCUCCACAGCCUCAGUUCCUCUGGAAAAUGAGGGCACUUUUUGAUUUGCUGAACCAUGCAGGGCCUGAGCGUGCAAGGUAGACUCUCCACCCCCGAGCAGGUUGAGGUUGCGGCUGCUCCGGAGCAGUCAAUGUCCGGUGUGUGUCUGUGAAGGAAUGCUGCGGAGAAGCACUGCAGUGUUGGACAAAUUCUGGGAUUCCAACUGAAGUUUCAAGGAGGUGUUCAGACAGGAAGAACUCUGGGGUCAGGAGCUGUUUUAAAACGACUAAAGCUGGGUGGUCGCUCCCUCCUCGCCUCCUCUCCUCUCAGCCAAGGCAGGCUAACAGUUGGUGUGACAGCUCCGCCCAUCUUCACUCUCCUGGUUGGGGAAAGCUCCCAAGACAGGAAUGAGAAAAAAAAAAAAAAACCAAAAAACC
rnacentral:lncRNA from 1 species